GGGGGCAUUAAUAUUUAAUUGUCAAAGGUGAAAUUCUUGGAUUUAUGAAAGAUUAACUUCUGCGAAAUAAUCUGCCAAGGAUGUUUUCAUUAAUCAUGAACGAAAGUUAGGGGAUCGAAGACGAUCAGAUACCGUCGUAGUCUUAACCAUAAACGAUGCCGACCAGCGAUUAGGAGACGUUGAAUACAAACACCACCAUCGGCGCGGUCGCCCUUGGCGCGUUCGUGUUCACGCACGAGCGCGCGAGGGCGGAUUACCCCGAUGGCCCGGUGAAUGACUCCCCUAGCAGCUUGUGACAAGCCUUGGGAUCCUGCCACAAAACGAUCCACUGGUAUACUAUACCGGGUGCAUUCUCCAAGCCCAAAAGG
rnacentral:rRNA from 1 species